rnacentral:rRNA from 1 species
UACGUAGGGUGCAAGCGUUGUCCGGAAUUAUUGGGCGUAAAGAGCUCGUAGGUGGUUUGUUACGUCUGCUGUGAAAACCUAGGGCUUAACCCUGGGCUUGCAGUGGAUACGGGCAGACUAGAGGUAGGUAGGGGAGAAUGGAAUUCCUGGUGUAGCGGUGAAAUGCGCAGAUAUCAGGAGGAACACCGGUGGCGAAGGCGGUUCUCUGGGCCUUACCUGACACUGAGGAGCGAAAGCGUGGGGAGCGAACAGG